UACGGAGGGGGCUAGCGUUGUUCGGAAUUACUGGGCGUAAAGGGCGCGUAGGCGGCGCGAUAAGUUGGGCGUGAAAGGCCCGGGCUCAACCCGGGGACUGCGCUUGAUACUGUCGCGCUGUGAGUCCGGGAGAGGAUGGCGGAAUUCCCAGUGUAGAGGUGAAAUUCGUAGAUAUUGGGAAGAACACCGGUGGCGAAGGCGUUCCGCUGGGCCGUUGCUGACGCUGAGGCGCGACAGCGUGGGGAGCAAACAGG
rnacentral:rRNA from 1 species